AGUUACACUCUGUUGUUUCAAAAGAAAGUUGUUUGUCCAAGCUUGUCCAAGUCAAUUUCAAGAGGCUCAGCCACCAAAAGGUUAAUCAAAGAGGAAGCCAAGGUCAUCAGUGAAGCCUCACAAGAGCUACCUGGAAAGGGCAGGAAAGAAAAAUGCAGAUAAGAAAAUUAAAACCACAGACUCCUGGGGGACAAACAAGAGCCUUCUGAUCCUAAUUUGAUCUGAAGUUAAGAAUGAAGGGGAUUUCUGUAGCAGUUUCUUUUGCAUAGCAGAGCUCCGACUUUUCCAGCAACAGCGUGUCCCUGGAAGCUACACAAAGUCCUCUUUGAUUGCCUGUGAUCAAAGCCACGAAGGCUCUCCUGCAACAUCUUAGCUUCAGAAAGCCAGGAAAAUCAGAAUGCUGAGAGAUUAAUAAUUCCUAAACACAUUUUUAAGGUUCUUCAAGUCUGUCUCAGAGCUAUCAAGGAGGCAGCAAAAGGGAUACCUUUGAUCUGCUGUUUCUGGAUUCACAAGGAGCUCAGAGAAACAACCAGGACACAGAACAAAACAAAACAUGGAGCUCUAAUUUAGGGGUUUCAGCUAAGGGAGCCACUCAGCAUCAGCACUGGGAAGGAGUUCUUACAGCUUCCUUUAUGAGAAAGAUUUCUUCUUCUGUUUAUAGAGUCUCAGAGCCAGGAGGGUGGCUGACUCUGAUGAUAGAACAAGAACCAAAUAUGCUCCUGCUGCUCCAGUAGAGUGGUCUUCACGUGAUCGAGAUUCUAAACUCUCAAACCAAGGCAAGAAUAAGGAAACUGGAACAGGAGGGCACGCCGGGCUCCAGCCUCCCAUGACAGUGAAACAUUGCCUUAGGAUGGCUGCUAUUAAUACAAUUGAGUAAAUAGAACACGUAAUUUUGUGAUUAAGUUAUGCACGAUUUGAUUUAAAUUAGUUUCUGGCAGUUGCUAGGUUUCACUCUGGCAUACUCUCUCGGUGUGGAAGCUGCUGAUUCAGAAAGAGAUGUUCCAAAGCUCAUGUAUAUCCUGGACACAUCUAAGUACUGAAUAAAAUGCUGGUUAAAUAAAUGAAUUAAUUUUCCAAGAAAGACA